rnacentral:rRNA from 1 species
GCAAGUCGAACGAUGAAGCCUAGCUUGCUAGGUGGAUUAGUGGCGCACGGGUGAGUAAUAUAUAGAUAACGUGCCUCUUAGUCUGGGAUAGCCAUUGGAAACGAUGAUUAAUACUAGAUAUUCCUUCUAAUUCUAAUGUUAGAUGGGAAAGUUUUUCGCUAAGAGAUCGGUCUAUAUCCCAUCAGCUAGUUGGUAGUGUAAGAGACUACCAAGGCAAUGACGGGUAGCGGGUUUGAGAGGAUGAUC